GGCGUUUGUACCAAAGUGGUUACUGGGAUGGUCUAGAAAACCAUUGCCCUUCGGGCGCGUAGGUUCGAAUCCUACCAACGUCG